GGGAUGGAUAUGUCAGGCUACAGGCAGCAGGUCCAGUCUACAGUACUGGGGAUGGAUAUGUCAGGCUACAGGCAGCAGGUCCAGUCUACAGUACUGGGGAUGGAUAUGUCAGGCUACAGGCAGCAGGUCCAGUCUACAGUACUGGGGAUGGAUAUGUCAGGCUACAGGCAGCAGGUCCAGUCUACAGUACUGGGGAUGGAUAUGUCAGGCUACAGGCAGCAGGUCCAGUCUACAGUACUGGGGAUGGAUAUGUCAGGCUACAGGCAGCAGGUCCAGUCUACAGUACUGGGGAUGGAUAUGUCAGGCUACAGGCAGCAGGUCCAGUCUACAGUACUGGGGAUGGAUAUGUCAGGCUACAGGCAGCAGGCCCAGCUCCAGUCUACAGUACUGGGAAUGGCUAUUGUGUAGAUUAGAAAUUAUAAGAGAGUCUUGGCAAGAGAUAACCUCAAAGGUUUUUCAACAAUAAAAUGCCAAGGCCAAGAGCAACCCAUUUUUUCUCAGUUUGACAUCAUUGCAUGAAUAUGUGACAUCCACUUGAAUGGUGACCAGGAGCUGCAAAUAAAAUGAGAAGGUUUGGAAGCAAAAUAAUAGAUGUCAAAGAAAGGUGACAAUAAUUGGGGACAUUUCUUAGUGAUUUCAUGAAAUCAAAAUAUUUUGCAAUAAAACAUUGGUCACUUAGCUAGACCACAGCGACUGAUAUACGUAGGCCUAACGUUUCUUCUAGGCUCAACGCAACAACAGGUUGGUUAUAAAUUAAACAAUAUCUGAUAUUAAAAUAAAGGUGUGUAUUAUUGUUCAAUUGGACAUCCUUGGUGGUCCAAGAUGGCCCUUGUGUGCAUCCAAAAUGGCUCCCUAUAUAGUGCACGACUUCUGACCAGAACCACCAACAUAGUGCACUAUAAAGGGAAUAGGGUGCCAUUUGGGAUGCGAACUCCAGCCAUCUUAUUGAAAUAAAUCCUGAAGGCUCCACCAUCUAACCCAGGGGUGUCAAACUCAUUUUUCCCCGGGGGGGGGGCACAUUUGGUCUUCAACGAGGUCUGAGGGAGGGGGGCACACUGAAAAUGUGUUAUAUUUCCUUGCAAUCAAAAUGAGCAAAAAAUUGUCCUCUAUCCUUCAAAUGUUUUUUUCUCGAUACUCCCUGUUUAGCUUUAAUUAAAGUAUAUUGAGUUUGUUCCCCCACCCCAAAAAAUAUAUAGAUAUAUAAAAAUGUCAUUUAUUUUUACUCAAACCAUGAGCCGUAUGUUUGACAGCCCUGAUCUAGCCCAAAACAAACCUUUCUCCCUUGACACAAACCUGACCCCUCUCCUAUCUCCUGUCCUCUGUCUUCUUUCAACUGCUUUGUGAAAGGGGUGUCGCUCGGAUGCCAUUUCUGACAUUGUAAGGUAAUUGGCUAUUUCUUUGAUGAGGCAGAGACAAAAGUGGUUGUGCAUUAGAUGGGUACAGCAGUGAAAUUAAUGCAUGCUAAUUAAGCAGCUCUUUGUUGCAGGGAGGGUGCUGGGGAAGAUGAGAAGGCUCUGUAGCACUCUGUUCUCUAUGGGACAGAUUGAGCACCCAUUGUCAACGGCUCACUCAGGUGUAAAUGAGCCCUCUGUGUUAUUUUGGAAAGAUUGGAAAAAUUGAUGAUGUGCAACAUGCAUAGUCAAUGAGAGCUAGGGAGCACAGAGAGGAAGAGAGAGGCUGAUACUACAAUACUCUGUCAACCCAGCCCAGUACUGGCCAGUGGAAUAGAGAGAGAGAGAGAGAGAGAGAGGCUGAUACUACAAUACUCUGUCAACCCAACCCAGUACUGGCCAGUGGAAGAGAGAGAGAGGCUGAUACUACAAUACUCUGUCAACCCAACCCAGUACUGGCCAGUGGAAUAGAGAGAGAGGCUGAUACUACAAUACUCUGUCAACCCAACCCAGUACUGGCCAGUGGAAUAGAGAGAGAGAGAGAGAGAGAGAGAGAGAGGCUGAUACUACAAUACUCUGUCAACCCAACCCAGUACUGGCCAGAAGAAGAGAGAGAGAGAGGCUGAUACUACAAUACUCUGUCAACCCAACCCAGUACUGGCCAGAAGA